rnacentral:rRNA from 1 species
UACGUAGGGUGCAAGCGUUGUUCGGAAUUACUGGGCGUAAAGGGCUCGUAGGCGGCCAACUAAGUCAGACGUGAAAUCCCUCAGCUUAACUGGGGAACUGCGUCUGAUACUGGAUGGCUAGAGGUUGGGAGAGGGAUGCGGAAUUCCAGGUGUAGCGGUGAAAUGCGUAGAUAUCUGGAGGAACACCGGUGGCGAAGGCGGCUUCCUGGACCGACACUGACGCUGAGGCGCGAAAGCUAGGGGAGCAAACGGG